rnacentral:rRNA from 1 species
GCGCACCAGGCGAGAAUCCUCCCCAAUGCCCGAAAGGGUGAGGGGGUCACCCCGAGUGCCACCCUCGUGGUGGCUUUUGCGGGGUCUAAAAAGCCCCGCGAAUAAGGGGAGGGCAAGACGGGUGUCAGCCGCCGCGGUAAUACCCGCUCCCCGAGUGGUGGGGACUAUUACUGGGCUUAAACGCGUCCGUAGCCGGCUGGGUGUGUCCCCGUUAAAUCCACGGGCCUAACCCGUGGGCUGCGGGGGAUACUACCUGGCUUGGGGGGUGGGAGAGGGCGGCGGGUAUUCCCGGGGGUAGGGGUAAAAUCCGUCUGGAUCCCGGGGAGGACCACCAGUGGCGAAGGCGGCCGCCCAGAACACGCCCGACGGUGAGGGACGAAAGCUGGGGGAGCAAACGGGAUUAGAUACCCGUGUAGU